rnacentral:rRNA from 1 species
GACGUAGGGGCCGAGCGUUGUCCGGAGUUACUGGGCGUAAAGGGCGCGCAGGCGGUUGGUCACAUCGGCGGGGAAAGCCCCCCGCUCAACGGGGGAGGGUCCGUCGAGAUGGGCCGACUGGAGGCAGGGAGAGGGCGGUGGAAUUCCGGGUGUAGUGGUGAAAUGCGUAGAUAUGUGGAGGAACACCGAUGGCGAAGGCAGCCCCCUGGGUCAAGACUGACGCUCAUGCACGAAAGCGUGGGGAGCAAACAGG